rnacentral:rRNA from 1 species
UACGGGGGGGGCAAGUGUUCUUCGGAAUGACUGGGCGUAAAGGGCACGUAGGCGGUGAAUCGGGUUGAAAGUGAAAGUCGCCAAAAAGUGGCGGAAUGCUCUCGAAACCAAUUCACUUGAGUGAGACAGAGGAGAGUGGAAUUUCGUGUGUAGGGGUGAAAUCCGUAGAUCUCUGGAGGAACACCGGUGGCGAAGGCGGCAUCCUGGGUCGGUAUUGACGCUGAGGAGCGAAAGCCAGGGGAGCAAACGGG